GUGCCAGCCGCCGCGGUAAUACCGGCAGCCCGAGUGAUGGCCGAUCUUAUUGGGCCUAAAGCGUCCGUAGCUGGCUGCGCAAGUCCGUCGGGAAAUCCACUCGCCCAACAGGUGGGCGUCCGGCGGAAACUGUGUGGCUUGGAACCGGAAGGCUCAGAGGGUACGUCCGGGAUAGGAGUGAAAUCCCGUAAGCCCGGACGGACCACCGAUGGCGAAAGCACUCUGAGAAGACGGCUUCGACAGUGAGGGACGAAAGCUAGGGUCUCAAACCGGAUUAGAUACCCUGGUAGUCC
rnacentral:rRNA from 1 species